rnacentral:tRNA from 1 species
GUCUUCGUGGUGUAAUAGUUAGUGCACUCGGCGCGUAAUCGAGAGGUCCAUGGUUCGAGUCCAGGUAAAGACA